rnacentral:rRNA from 1 species
CCUACGGGUGGCAGCAGUGAGGAAUAUUGGUCAAUGGACGAGAGUCUGAACCAGCCAAGUAGCGUGAAGGAUGACUGCCCCAUGGGUUGUAAACUUCUUUUAUAUGGGAAUAAAACGUUCCACGUGUGGGAUUUUGUAUGUACCAUAUGAAUAAGGAUCGGCUAACUCCGUGCCAGCAGCCGCGGUAAUACGGAGGAUCCGAGCGUUAUCCGGAUUUAUUGGGUUUAAAGGGAGCGUAGGUGGAUUGUUAGGUCAGUUGUGAAAGUUUGCGGCUCAACCGUAAAAUUGCAGUUGAAACUGGCAGUCUUGAGUACAGUAGAGGUGGGCGGAAUUCGUGGUGUAGCGGUGAAAUGCUUAGAUAUCACGAAGAACUCCGAUUGCGAAGGCAGUUCACUGGACUGCAACUGACACUGAGGCUCGAAAGUGUGGGUAUCAAACAGGAUUAGAUACCCGAGUAGUC